CAAAGGCUUGGUCCUGACUUUUCUGUCAGCUUUAGCUAGAUUUACACAUGCAAGUAUCCGCACUCCUGUGAGAAUGCCCUACAGUUCCCUGCUUGGGAACAAGGAGCUGAUAUCAGGCACAACCCCUACACCCUGCCCAUGACAUCUUGCUUGGCCACACCCCCACGGGAAUACAGCAGUGAUAAAUAUUAAGCCAUAAGUGUAAACUUGACUUAGUUAAAGCUAAGAGGGCCGGUAAAACUCGUGCCAGCUACCGCGGUUAGACGAGAGGCCCAAGUUGAUAGACUCCGGCGUAAAGAGUGGUUAAGAUAACAAAAAUACUAAAGCCAAAUAGCUACAAGGCUGUUAUACGCAUCCGAGAGCUAGAGGCCCAACCACGAAAGUUGCUUUACUAUACUGAACCCACGAAAGCCAAGGCACAAACUGGGAUUAGAUACCCCACUAUGCCUGGUCCUAAACAUUGAUAGCACACUACACUUCACUAUCCGCCUGGGAACUACGAGCAUUAGCUUAAAACCCAAAGGACUUGGCGGUGCUUUAGAUCCAUCUAGAGGAGCCUGUUCUAUAACCGAUAACCCCCGUUCAACCUCACCUUUUCUUGUCUCCUCCGCCUAUAUACCGCCGUCGUCAGCUUACCCUAUGAAGGCUCUAUAGUAAGCAAAAUUGGUACAGCCCAAGACGUCAGGUCGAGGUGUAGCGUAUGAAAAGGGAAGAAAUGGGCUACAUUCCACCCACCCCGAGGAAUACGAAAACUAUGCUGAAACGCAUUUUUAAAGGAGGAUUUAGCAGUAAGAGAAAAAUAGAGUGUUUCUCUGAAUCUGGCCCUGAAGCGCGCACACACCGCCCGUCACUCUCCCCGAGCACACCCGACUUAGCUAACUAACACACUACUAAUAACUAAGGGGAGGCAAGUCGUAACAUGGUAAGUGUACCGGAAGGUGUACUUGGCAUAAACUUC
rnacentral:ncRNA from 1 species